CGCCAGAGAGUUCAAUUGGUGGAGCACCUGAUUAGAGAUUCAGGGCGCCCGGGUUUGAAUCCUGGUCUGGUCC
rnacentral:tRNA from 1 species